rnacentral:rRNA from 1 species
GAUGAACGCUAGCGGCAGGCUUAACACAUGCAAGUCGAGGGGUAACAUAGAAAAGCUUGCUUUUCUGAUGACGACCGGCUCACGGGUGCGUAACGCGUAUACAACCUACCUUUUAGCGGGGAAUAGCCCAGGGAAACUUGGAUUAAUGCCCCAUAGUAUAUAGACUUCUCCUGAAGUUUAUAUUAAACAUUUAUGGCUAUUAGAUGGGUAUGCGUCCUAUUAGUUAGUUGGUAAGGUAACGGCUUACCAAGGCAGCGAUAGGUAGGGGUCCUGAGAGGGAGAUCCCCACACUGGUACUGAGACACGGACCAGACUCCUACGGGAGGCAGCAGUGAGGAAUAUUGGACAAUGGGCGAGAGCCUGAUCCAGCCAUGCCGCGUGCAGGAAGACUGCCCUAUGGGUUGUAAACUGCUUUUACAGAGGAAGAACCACCCCCACGUGUGGGGGUUUGACGGUACUCUGCGAAUAAGGAUCGGCUAACUCCGUG